rnacentral:tRNA from 1 species
GAGGGAAUAGCUCAAUGGUAGAGCCCAUGCUUAGUUAGCAUGCACAAGGUCCUGAGUUCAAUCCCCAGUACCUCCU